UGCGGCGGAUUAGCUAGUUGGUGGGGUAACGGCCUACCAAGGCGAUGAUCCGUAGGGGGCGUGAGAGCGUGGCCCCCCACACUGGCACUGAGACACGGGCCAGACUCCUACGGGAGGCAGCAGUGAGGAAUAUUGCACAAUGGGCGGAAGCCUGAUGCAGCAACGCCGCGUGAGGGACGAAGGCCUUCGGGUCGUAAACCUCUUUUCUGGGGGACGAGUAAGGACGGUACCUCAGGAAUAAGUCUCGGCUAACUACGUGCCAGCAGCCGCGGUAAAACGUAGGAGGCGAGCGUUAUCCGGAUUUACUGGGCGUAAAGCGUACGCAGGUGGCUUCGUGAGUCGGACAUGAAAGCUCCCGGCUUAACUGGGAGAGGUUGUUCGAUACUGCGGGGCUUGAGGUUGGGAGAGGGACGUGGAAUUCCCGGUGUAGUGGUGGAAUGCGUAGAUAUCGGGAGGAACACCAGUGGCGCAAGCGGCGUCCUGGCCCACACCUGACGCUGAGGUACGAAAGCGUGGGUAGCAAACAGGAUUAGAUACCCUGGUAGUCCACGCUGUAAACGAUGUCAACUGGGUGUCGGUAGUUUUACACUAUCGGUGCCGAAGCCAACGCG
rnacentral:rRNA from 1 species